AAAAAUGACCGGCCUGUGUCAUUAACACCGGUGUAUUCAUUGUGAAAUUCGAACAGAGCUCACACGAAAUGCUCAAAUUAUAUUGGAGUAGCAGGAGUACAAGUGAGAAGGGAGAAAGAGGGCAGAAUAAAUCGUCGAGAAAACGGAAGGAAGGAAAGAUUUUUGGUUUUCGGGAAAAGCGUUGAAAUUACGGGCGGGGAGAAAGAAGGGCGGUGAGAACUCGGAGGAAUAAGACGAUAUUUUAAAAAUUGAAGCGGGUCGUUUGAUUCAGCCCGAAAACAUAUUUUAUGAUUCUAUAUUUUUUAGGGAAAAUUUCAUUUUUUAGACAGGGUUUUUUUUUUUUUUUUUAAUUUAAACCGUUGAAUAACCUUAUGCUUAUAUAAUAUUUAUUUAUUUUUAUACAUUUAUUAUCUGUUCAGACUUUUAG